rnacentral:lncRNA from 1 species
GAGGACCGUAUUCAUGGAAGAUGAUUGAACAGAGAUGAAGUAGACAGUAUGUUGGAUAAAUCUGGAGAUUAUCUGAAUGAAACAUAGCAACUGUAACUUAAAUCAAGAAAUAUAUUUUGUGCGGACAUUAGAAAUGUGAAGCUAAUUCUCAAAAGGUGUAUAUUAUCUGAAUCGACACUUAUAAUUUCCUACCCAUUUUACAACACAGCAAGUUCUUCAUACCUAGCAGGAUUAUUCUGGUACUUAAAUUUAAUGUUUUCAAAGAUGAAAAAAGACCAACUGGAAAUUCAGAAAAGCACAGUGAAUACAGAAUUAUCCAGAAUACAAGCUACCCCCUAUUGUAGGAAAAGAAUGGAUAUUCUGACAGUAAAUAGCUUUUAAAUAUAAACUAUUGAGAUAAAUUAGAGUUAAACCAAGAAAGGGGGUGCUAAAGCAUUCAGGAAUUCCAAGAAGAAAGAACUUAUGGCAUAGCAUUGAGGCAAUGUCACAAGGAAAUAAUUAGAUUUUAGAAAGUGCCCCUGUGUUUCUGAAUGAUGUAAGCCUUUAUUGCUGUGUAGCCAAAGGGAAACAGAAAUUCUUCACAUAAAUCAAAGAGAGGAGCGAAAUAAAUACCUUCCAUCCAGCAAGAUCAAAAACUGCUCAUAGAAAAAUGGCAAGGUAUGCAACAGGCAAACGAAGUUUCUGUGUCAGUAAAGUAGGAUCUUCAAUUAUAGCCUCAAUUUUACACUUUCUCAGUGUAUCAAUUUCUAUAAAAUAUGACCUCUCAAAUAAUCAGUUUGACUAAGGAUUUAAUAAAUCAUUCUGUGCAACUAUAUUCCAGCUGCAUCAUUGGACUGAAGGUGAAUGGCCCAUGUGUUGCCACUGAUGUGAGCAAUUUGCCUGUUGUGCUUCA